UGGGGAAUAUUGCACAAUGGGCGCAAGCCUGAUGCAGCGACGCCGCGUGGGGGAUGACGGCCUUCGGGUUGUAAACUCCUUUCGCUAGGGACGAAGCUUUUUGUGACGGUACCUAGAUAAGAAGCACCGGCUAACUACGUGCCAGCAGCCGCGGUAAUACGUAGGGUGCGAGCGUUGUCCGGAAUUACUGGGCGUAAAGGGCUCGUAGGUGGUUUGUCGCGUCGUCUGUGAAAUUCCGGGGCUUAACUCCGGGCGUGCAGGCGAUACGGGCAUAACUUGAGUACUGUAGGUGUAACUGGAAUUCCUGGUGUAGCGGUGAAAUGCGCAGAUAUCAGGAGGAACACCGAUGGCGAAGGCAGGUUACUGGGCAGUUACUGACGCUGAGGAGCGAAAGCAUGGGUAGCGAACAGG
rnacentral:rRNA from 1 species